ensembl:lncRNA
AUGGGAAUUCCAUGGGAAUGUGCGAGAAAUCCACCCGCGCCUCCCACAGGGCCCGGCGGAAUAUCACAGCAAUGUCCUCUGGAAAAAACGGGAAUUAAUUCCAUGGGAAUGCGGGAAUGUGGGAGAAAUCCGCCCGCGCCUCCCACGGGGCCCGGCGGAACACCACCGCGAUGUCCUCUGGAAAAAACGGGAAUUCUGUGGGAUUUGGGAUUUGGGAUGGAGAAAUCCGCCCGCGCCUCCCAGGGGUGCCGACGGAACACCACCGCGAUGUCCUCUGGAAAAACGGGAAUGAAUUCCAUGGGAAUGUGGGAAUGUGGGGUUUGGGAAUGUGGGGUUUGGGAAUGUGGGAUUUGGGAUGUGGGAUAUGGGAUUUGGGAUUCGGGAUUUGGGAUGUGGGAUUUGGGAGAAAUCCGCCCGCGCCUCCCACGGCGCCCGGCGGAAAAUCACAGCGAUGUCCUCUGGAAAAAACGGGAAUUCCGUGGGAAUUUGGGAUUUGGGAUUUGGGAAUGUGGGAUUUGGGAUUUGGGAUUCGGGAUUUGGGAUGUGGGAUUUGGGAGAAAUCCGCCCGCGCCUCCCACGGCGCCCGGCGGAACACCACCGCGAUGUCCUCUGGAAAAAACGGGAAUUAAUUCCAUGGGAAUGUGGGAUUUGGGAAUGUGGGAUUUGGGAUUUGGGAUUUGGGAUGUGGGAGAAAUCCGCCCGCGCCUCCCAGGGGUGCCGACGGAAAAUCACCGCGAUGUCCUCUGGAAAAAACGGGAAUUCUGUGGGAUUUGGGAAUGUGAAAACAGCUGGAAUUCCAUGGGAAUGUGGGAUUUGGGAUGUGGGAUUUGGGAUAUGGGAGAAAUCCGCCCGCGGCUCCCAGGGGUCCCGGCGGAAAAUCACAGCGAUGUCCUCUGGAAAACAGCCGGAAUUCCAUGGGAAUGUGGGAUUUGGGAAUGUGGGAAUUUGGGAAUGUGGGAUGUGGGAUUUGGGAAUUUGGGAUUUGGGAUUUGGGAUUUGGGAUGUGGGAGAAAUCCGCCCGCGCCUCCCACGGGGCCCGGUGAAAAAUCACAGCGAUGUCCUCUGGAAAAAACGGGAAUGACACGGGAAUUCAGGAAUGUGGGAUUUGGGAUCAAUUAUGGGAAUGUCAGAUUGGGAAUUUGGGAUUUGGGAAUGUGGGAAUGUGGGAGAAAUCCGCCCGCGCCUCCCAGGGGUGCCGGCGGAAAAUCACCGCGAUGUCCUCUGGAAAAAACGGGAAUUCUGUGGGAUUUGGGAAUGUGGGAUUUGGGAUUUGGAAUGUGGGAGAAAUCCGCCCGCGCCUCCCACGGGGCCCGGCGGAAAAUCACCGCGAUGUCCUCUGGAAAACAGCCGGAAUUCCCUCGGAAUUUGGGAUUUGGGAUUGGAAAAACAGCGGGAAUUCCAUGGGAAUGUGGGAUUUGGUUAUGCAGGAAUUUGGGAAUGCAGGAUUCAGGAAUGCAGGUGUGCCCAGGUGUGCCCAGGUGUGAUCACAGCCAUGCCCAGGUGUUCCCAGGUGUGUGCUCAGCUGCCUCCAGGUGUGUGCCCAGCCGUGCCCAGGUGUGUUCCCACCCGUUUCCAGCUGUGCCCAGGUGUGCCGAUCCGUGCCAGGUGUGCCCAGGUGUCCCCAGGUGUGUUCCCAGGUGUGUUCCCAGGUGUGCCCAGGUGUUCCCAGCUGUGCCCAGCUGUUCCCAGGUGUGCCCGAUCCGAGCCGUGCGCACCUUUCUGCACCUUGUCGCAGAGCAGGUACAGUUCCUCCCCGCCCGUGCAGGGGCCGCUCUCCUUGUUCAUGCGGCAGAUCCGCAGCUCCGACGUCGUCGUCGACUCUGCCGGAUUUCGGGAAUUUCGGGAAUUUCAGGGAUUUUGGGAAUGUUGGGAAUUCUUCGGGAUUUUUUUGGGAAUUUUUUGAGAAUUUUUUGGGAAUUUUUUUUUAAUUUUUGGGGGUUUUUUGGGAAUUUUUUGAGGAUUUUUUGGGAUUUUUUUCAAAUUUUUGGGGGAUUUAAAAAAAAAAACCUGGAAUUCUUUAUUAUUUUUGGGGAAAAUUUUGGGGGGAUUUUUUUGGGGAGAAUUUUUGGGGGAAUUUUUGGGAAAGUUUUGGGAAUUUUUUUGGGAAUUUUUGGGGGGUUUUGGGGAUUUUUGGGGGAUUUUUUUUGGUUUUUUUUCGAAUUUUUGGGGGAUUUAAAAAAAAAUCUGGAAUUCUUUUUUAUUUUGGAGGAAAAUUUUGGGGUUUUUUUUUUAUUUUUUGGAAAAAUUUUUGAAGGAAUUUUUGGGGAUUUGGGGGGAUUUAAAAAUUUUUUUUUUCAAAUUUUUGGGGGAUUUUUUUUUUCUGGAAAUUUUUUAUUUUUGGGGUAA